UAAAAAUGAUGAAUUGCCAUGCUAAUACCGAGAAAGUUUGGACUUUCGCUGAGUUAAUUAUUUCAAAUUAUACUGAUUUUU